GACGAACGCUGGCGGCGUGGAUUAGGCAUGCAAGUCGAACGGUAUCAUCCUUUCGGGGGUGAGAGAGUGGCGAACUGGUGAGUAACACGUAGGUUAUCUACCCUCAAGACGGGGACAACCCAGGGAAACUUGGGCUAAUACCGGAUGUGAGCAACUUUUAGUUGUUUGAAAGGUGGCGUAAGCUGUCGCUUGGGGAUGAGCCUGCGUCCUAUUAGUUAGUUGGUGGGGUAACGGCUCACCUAGGCAAUGAUAGGUAGGCGGCCUUAACGGGUGGUCGCCCACACUGGGAUUGAGAUACGGCCCAGACUCCUACGGGAGGCAGCAGUCGAGAAUAGUCUACAAUGGUCGGAAGACUGAUAGUGCGACGCCGCGUGAACGAUGAAUCCCUUCGGGGUGUAAAGUUCUUUUAUAUGUGAGCAGUGCUUCUUAUAUUAACAGUAUGGGGAGAGAGAUAUUAGCAUAUGAAUAAGCAACGGCUAACUCCGUGCCAGCAGCCGCGGUAAACUCGU
rnacentral:rRNA from 1 species